GGUGCGACGUGGUUAACUGGCCUGUGCGGGGGGCUGGCUCCCGCACGAAGCCCAUCGAGCAAAUAUCGCGACGAUUGGGGAUGCAACGCUCCCACUUCGCCGCUACUGAUCGGUGACAGAGAGAGAAAGAGGGGAUCUAGGCGUUUGCGAUGCGGAGGAUCCAAUCGACUUCUCCGGCGCUCGAUGCAGAGGAUCGGUCUUCUUCGGCGCUCGGUGCAGAGGAUCAGUGACAGAGGGGGUAUCCAGCGUUUCCGAUGCAGCCGACGAGGAGGAUCCAAUCAACGCGCGCACGCGGGCGACGCGGGCGAUCGAUCUACUGAAGCGAUCCAGCCAUGUCGCACGCCCUUCACGCCGGUUGUAUCCCGCCGGACUCUUCUACUCCUAUCCGUGGGGCAUGACAACUACUGUUGAUAUAUUCUACUUAUGAUUUGAGAACUGAAUUUAGUGAACACUUGCUGGCGAGCUUACCAUUCCAUCACAUCAAGACAAAUAUUGCCUCAUAUUGAUGCAACUUCCAACGCCUUUUUCCAAUUUCUGGUAAGUAGCUCCAGCCUCCAUGGCAUCUGAUGUACUCCUGCUUGAAAGGAUUGUAAGAGUGUUUUGUUCCCGGAUAAGAUCUGUCAAGUUUCAGUUCUUGGACUUCUUUUCAUGGGUUUUGCUGGUGCUACAAGCUUUCAUCAAGGUCAAUGCUCAUGGAGGUGACGUCAAUGCUGUCUUGAAAAAAAUCGAACCAUGCAGGAAGACUGUAUCUUUUUUGAGGAUCAGGAAGACUGCAUCUAAUCUUUAUAGAGAAUAAUGAAAGGCCAAGCCCAUGUCCAGAAAACAUAGCACAACAACGAUUAAGACAAAGCUCUAUGUUAAUUUUUGCCAACUUCGGCCCCAUUGCACACCGAGGAACAGCAACACAAGAAGAAGAAAAAAAAUCAGUGCGAAAUGUAAUAAAACUAAUGGGUUAGUUACCUUGAUUUAUGGGGACUGAUAAGGAUACACUUGCAGUAGAUUAUGUCACAUAAAUUAUGUGUUGUGUAUAAUUUCAAACCUCUAUGAUGCUCCCUUGGGUUAGAGGUUUGGGCUGAAGAUAAGCAAGUUA